CAAAUCCAAGCCCAUUUAUUCCAAUAAAUCACAAUCAAAUCAAACCAAACUAAACAAAUUCUAAUCAUGCCGUCUAAUUUUUUUCCGAUAACAAAAAUCAUUAACAAAACCAAAAAAGCAAAUCGGAGGUGUAAUUAAGGUCGGUGAUGACGAAACAGAGGUGGUGUGGGAAGGGACGUCAACGACACCGCAUCAAAUAAGCAAAUCGGAGCUCAGAUAUGCAAUCUCAUAUCCUGACGGAUUCAAAUUGGAGCUCAGAUGCAAUCUCAGAUCUCGGCGGUAGGAACGAGGUCGAAGCCGCCAGAAGAGGUUGGAGUUGCCUUCGAAGGCGGAGACGAAGAUUCAACUUACAGGUAGAUAAAGCUAAAGUGGUUGCGGUCUGGUGAUGAGGAAGACGGUGCCGAUGAAUCUCAGGUCGUUGAGAGCUCUUUGCGCUCUCGAUCUCGUCCUUUGAAGCUUCGUCUUCAGCCUCCUCACCUCACGUCGAUGCGGCGACGGGUUUGCCGUUUGGAUUCGAAGAUCUGAGGUCGAACUACUCCAGCUCGUCUCCGUUCGGGCCAGCUCCGGUUGAGAAAGGUAAUGGAGAACGGAAUCGACGACGGAGUUGUCGCAUCCGACGGUCUUGUGCUGCCGGAGCCGAACGAGAUGGUGAGGAAGGAUGCUGCCGGAGCUGAGCAAGAUCGUGAGGAUGGGUUUUCUCGCCGGGGGGAGAGAGAGAGAGAGUGAUUUUUUUUUCGUUUUUGCAAUAGAGAGAAUGAAUGGAUGCAGUUGGUUUUCUUUUAUGAAGGGUAAAAUCGUCACAAACAAAAUAAUAUGUGGAUGCAGAUGGCCUUAUUUGUACAAAAAAAUGCAGGUGGCUUUAUGACUAAUAUAAGUCUCAAAAUGACACUUACGUGUAAUUUUCUAUAAAAUCAAUAGAAAAUUACAUAUAAGUGUCAUUUUGAGACUUAUAUUAGCCAUAAGGCCACUUAAUUUUUCUUGUGUUACAUAAGGCCACUUACAUUCACAAAUUAUUUUUUUCAUGACAAUUUUACCCUUCUGCCUAACAAACCCAAUUGCAUCGGUCUUUCCGUCUUACAUCAAUCACAGAUCUCUCUCUCUCUCUCUCUCUCUCUCUGUAGCGACCUUCUUGCUCUUCUCUAGCGGUGAAGACGUCGGUGACACUGUUUGGACGAGGCGGCAGGCCAGGCUUCUCUCUCUCCUCCCAAUUUUAACGAGAAAGCUCCCCUUCUGUUUCUCUGCUGCUCUAAUUUGAGCACCACCGCCUUCACGUCGAUGUCUCCGCCUCCGAUUCCGGCGACCACCGGCACAACGCUAUCAGACCUUGCACCGCCAUCUGCACCUUCAAUUUUCCAGAAAAUAAAGCUUAUCAAAAAAUUACAAACCGGACGAAAACGUUGGGAAGUCUGCGGCUGCAGUCCGAUCGCUAUUUGAUGAUCGUGAUCGGAGGGGUGAAAGGAGAAUCACAACGAUGAUAAAGUUUCACGACAAGGCGAGGCAGCCCAGGCAUCGAUGACAUCGUCUAGGGCUCAAUUGUCGACUCCUUCGCUCAUUCUUUCAUUCUCCACUAACGCUCGCCGGAUUUCAUUCUCGGCUGCUUUCGAUGGAUGGCAGUAGUAAUAAUAACGACUGUGGAUGGCAGAAGGCGACCUAUGCAACGGGCCAGAGGAAGAACAAGGUCACGGAUUCCAUCAACAAUCAUAAUAGGCUCGUUCCGGCGCUAUGAUCUCCAGCGGAGAGCGUUUUCUGAGGUGUGGAGAACGAGGUGGAGGAGCGAGUUCGGAGCCGGUAGGAAGCUGAUAAGGCGAAGACGGUAUUUUCGAUUUUUCCAUCAUUUUACAAUUGAAUUCUUCCCCUUUGCAUUUGUAGAGUAGAUUUCGAAAAUCAUGUGAAUUUGGAUAUUGAAGCCUCCACUGACCAAGAGAUCAUUCAGCUAACUAAGAAAUGCUGAAAUGAAGUCUCGUGCUGAAGGUGGCAAAAUUAUGCCUAUGGGUUUAGAGUGUUAGCAUUGAAAAAUGACAGUAGCAUUACAACAUUGACAGUAGCUUUAUUCAACUAUUGUAAUAAAUUUUCAUAACUAUGGUAGUGACUUUUUACAAUUACAAAAGUAGCUUUUUACAUAAUUAUAUCAUCGUUGAACCCUGUAUACUUUUUGUAUCAUCUAAUAUGUUUUAUUUUCUCUA